rnacentral:rRNA from 1 species
CGCGCAGGCGGCGCGUUAAGUCCGGGGUGAAAUCCCACGGCUCAACUGUGGGGGGACCCUGGAUACUGGCGUGCUGGAGUGCGGGAGAGGGAAGCGGAAUUCCGCGUGUAACGGUGAAAUGUAUAGAUAUGUGGAGGAACACCGGUGGCGAAGGCGGCUUCCUGGACCGUAACUGACGCUGAGGCGCGAAAGCUGGGGGGAGCGAACAG